rnacentral:pre_miRNA from 1 species
UUUCUACUCCCUCCGUCCGAAAAUACUUGUCAUCAAAAUGGAUAAAAAUAGAUGUAUCUAAAACUAAACUAUGUCUAGAUACAUUUCCUUUUAUCCAUUUUGAUGACAAGUAUUUCCUGACGGAGGGAGUAUUUG